CGUUAAUAUAUGACCCGAUUAGCAGCUUCCGGGAAACCAAAGUUUUUCGUUUCCGGGGGAAGUAUGGUUGCAAAGCUGAAACUUAAAGGAAUUGACGGAAGGGCACCACCAGGAGUGGAGCCUGCGGCUUAAUUUGACUCAACACGGGAAAACUCACCCGGCCCGGACACCGUAAGGAUUGACAGACUGAGAGCUCUUUCUUAAUUCGGUGGGUGGUGGUGCAUGGCCGUUCUUAGUUGGUGGAGCGAUUUGUCUGGUUAAUUCCGAUAACGAACGAGACUCUGGCCUAUUAAAUAGACGAUAUAUUUAAAAGUAUAUCGCGCUUCUUAGAGGGACAAGCGGCGUCUAGCCGCAUGAAAUAGAGCAAUAACAGGUCUGUGAUGCCCUUAGAUGUCCGGGGCUGCACGCGCGCUACACUGAAAGAAUCAGUGUGCGUUACGCCUAGUUCGGAAGAACCGGGUAACCCAAGUAAAUUCUUUCGUGCUUGGGAUAGGGAAUUGCAAUUAUUUCCCUUAAACGAGGAAUUCCCAGUAAAUGCGGGUCAUAAGCUCGCGUUGAUUACGUC
rnacentral:rRNA from 5 species